rnacentral:lncRNA from 1 species
GCUUAAUAGCAUAUGUUUAUUUCAAUAUAACUAUCAUACUUAGAAUGCAUCUGGUUCUCUUAAUUUUCAGUCAUUUAGUGUACCUUAAUUUGCAAAACCAUUUUAGAGUUGCAUAUUACUUGACUUGUGAGUUAAGUUUCUUUCUUCCAUACUUUAGUUAUGGAAUAAUGGGAGAUGUUGCUAUAGUAGAGUGGGAAGAAACAGAUAAUAUUUAAAAAUCAUAUCCUGUUUUUCUUAUUGAUACCAGUGCCUUAUAUAUUCUUCCCAGUUCAUUUUCCUGGAUUGUGAAGUUUUGGUGGGGUUCGGACUCCAGAUAGGCAUUGUGAAGUAACUCAGAAAAUCCACCAUCUUUUCCAAAUUUCUUCUCUUUUCUGCUAGACUACUGUACUGAGAACAUAUAUUUUUUGUGAGGGUAGGCAUUUUAUUACUUUAAUAAAACGCUUAUUACAUUAUUAAAUUAUUCUAAAGUUUGAGUGUAUUUCUACUUAGUGGUUCCUUUUCUUCUACACAUUGAAUAUAUCUGUAAAGGUCUGUUCAUUGGGAUACUAUUGGAUAUAAAACAAUAUCUUUCUCUUUUAAGGAGGCUGUAUUGUGAUUUAGUCAUGCACAGAUUCAGAUAGGUAUAAUAAAAUAAAGAAAUAAUGAGAAAAACUAGUUCAUGCAUUAAGUGAUUCCCUAAAUCUUUCUCUUAAAAUUUUGCUGUAGAUAGGUGAUUUUGUGGUAUAAUUUUUGAAAUAAAACCUAGGUUUUUCUUCUGCUACUGGUGUUGACAUUUUAAAUUACCCAAGAGUAUAUAUGUAACAACAGGCUUUUACUGAUUGGCAUCUGAUUAUAUCUGAUAACAAUCUAAGAGAGGAGUUUUGAUGAAGUGUCAGCUUAAGGGUCAUUAAUAAAAAAACAUAAGUAACUAAUAAUCUGGAAAUCACUUCUAAAGCUUUAAAUGUGUAACAUGUAUUUGACUGUGCCUCAGUGAGAACCCAACAUGAAAAAUUUAUACACAGAGACCAGAUAAACUUAGAUUCUUUGUUUUACAACUUGAUUAUACUGAAUGUUUCUAAAAAGGGUGUUUAAAAAUGCUUUGCAUUUUUAUGGUAUACUUAUAACAUGGAAUUUAGCUUAAAACUGUUUUGUAUAUAUGAAUGUUUAUGUGUGUGUACACUUUUAGAAAGUCAUUUUAAUGAUAUAUGGCUUAGUGCUGUAGAACUU